GCGUUGAAAAGCUCGGGGAUGACUUGUGGGUAGCGGUGAAAUUCCAAUCGAGCCCGGAGAUAGCUGGUUCUCCCCGAAAUAGCUUUAGGGCUAGCCUCAAGGUGAGAGAUACGGAGGUAGAGCACUGAAUGUCCUAGGGGGUAUUGCACCUACCGAAGACUAUCAAACUCCGAAUGCCGUCAUCUUAUACUUGGGAGUCAGACUGUGGGUGAUAAGAUUCAUAGUCGAAAGGGCAACAGCCCAGAUCGUCAGCUAAGGUCCCUAAAUGUAAGUUAAGUGGUAAAGGAUGUGGGAUUGCACAGACAACCAGGAUGUUGGCUUAGAAGCAGCCACUCAUUCAAAGAGUGCGUAAUAGCUCACUGGUCGAGUGAUCCUGCGCCGAAGAUUUCCGGGGCUAAAACUUACUACCGAAGCUACGGCAUCAGUAAUGAUGGGUAGGGGAGCUUCCCAUACGGGUUGAAGCAUGACCGUAAGGACAUGUGGACAGUAUGGGAGUGAGAAUGUUGGCAUGAGUAGCGAGAUGUGGGUGAGAAUCCCACAGGCCGUAAACCCAAGGUUUCCAGGGGAAGGUUCGUCCGCCCUGGGUUAGUCGGGACCUAAGCUGAGGCCGAAAGGCGUAGGUGAUGGACAACAGGUUGAUAUUCCUGUACUACCGAUAACCGUUUGAGAGAAGGGAUGACACAGUAGGAUAAGCUAAGCACACUGUUGGUUAUGUGUGCCCAAGCAUUGAGGCAGUCAAAGUAGGUAAAUCCGCUUUGAUAAUGCUGGGGUGUGAUGGGGAGCGAAAUUUAGUAGCGAAGUAGCUGAUUUCACACUGUCAAGAAAAGUCGCUAUCGAGGUUAAAGGUACCCGUACCGCAAACCGACACAGGUGGGUGAGGAGAGUAUCCUAAGGCCAGCGAGAGAACUGUUGUUAAGGAACUCGGCAAAAUGACCCCGUAACUUAGGGAUAAGGGGUGCCA
rnacentral:rRNA from 1 species